rnacentral:tRNA from 1 species
GCUAGUGUGGUGUAGUGGUUUGAGUGUUGGACUAUGACUUUGAAGACCAGUGUUCAAAUCUCUGCUCAGUCA